UACGUAGGAUGCAAGCGUUGUCCGGAAUUAUUGGGCGUAAAGCGAACGUAGGCGGCUUCUUAAGUUUGGUCUUAAAGACCGGGGCUCAACCCCGGGAAUGGACUGAAUACUGGGAGGCUGGAGGAUGUCAGAGGAAAGUGGAAUUCCCAGUGUAGCGGUGAAAUGCGUAGAUAUUGGGAGGAACACCAGUGGCGAAAGCGACUUUCUGGGGCAUUCCUGACGCUGAGGUUCGAAAGCUCGGGGGAGCAAACAGG
rnacentral:rRNA from 1 species